rnacentral:rRNA from 1 species
AGAGUUUGAUCCUGGCUCAGGAUGAACGCUAGCGACAGGCUUAACACAUGCAAGUCGAGGGGCAGCACAGGUAGCAAUACCGGGUGGCGACCGGCGCACGGGUGAGUAACGCGUAUGCAACUUGCCUAUCAGAGGGGGAUAACCCGGCGAAAGUCGGACUAAUACCGCAUGAAGCAGGGGCCCCGCAUGGGGAUAUUUGCUAAAGAUUCAUCGCUGAUAGAUAGGCAUGCGUUCCAUUAGGCAGUUGGCGGGGUAACGGCCCACCAAACCGACGAUGGAUAGGGGUUCUGAGAGGAAGGUCCCCCACAUUGGUACUGAGACACGGACCAAACUCCUACGGGAGGCAGCAGUGAGGAAUAUUGGUCAAUGGCCGAGAGGCUGAACCAGCCAAGUCGCGUGAAGGAAGAAGGAUCUAUGGUUUGUAAACUUCUUUUAUAGGGGAAUAAAGUGGAGGACGUGUCCUUUUUUGUAUGUACCCUAUGAAUAAGCAUCGGCUAACUCCGUGCCAGCAGCCGCGGUAAUACGGAGGAUGCGAGCGUUAUCCGGAUUUAUUGGGUUUAAAGGGUGCGUAGGUGGUGAUUUAAGUCAGCGGUGAAAGUUUGUGGCUCAACCAUAAAAUUGCCGUUGAAACUGGGUUACUUGAGUGUGUUUGAGGUAGGCGGAAUGCGUGGUGUAGCGGUGAAAUGCAUAGAUAUCACGCAGAACUCCGAUUGCGAAGGCAGCUUACUAAACCAUAACUGACACUGAAGCACGAAAGCGUGGGGAUCAAACAGGAUUAGAUACCCUGGUAGUCCACGCAGUAAACGAUGAUCACUAGCUGUUUGCGAUACACUGUAAGCGGCACAGCGAAAGCGUUAAGUGAUCCACCUGGGGAGUACGCCGGCAACGGUGAAACUCAAAGGAAUUGACGGGGGCCCGCACAAGCGGAGGAACAUGUGGUUUAAUUCGAUGAUACGCGAGGAACCUUACCCGGGCUUAAAUUGCACUCGAAUGAUCCGGAAACGGUUCAGCUAGCAAUAGCGAGUGUGAAGGUGCUGCAUGGUUGUCGUCAGCUCGUGCCGUGAGGUGUCGGCUUAA